UUAUUAUUAAUAGUUAUUAAAAGCUUGGAUUUGAGAUGGAAACCAACCAACUCAAAACUAGCAACCAUGAUAAGUCAAUUAGGUUGUCCAAUGACUCAGUCAAGCCAAAACUAAAUUUCCCUGACCCAGUCAAUGAUUAAGCUAAUGAGUUUAGAAAUACUGAAUUUAGAAGUACAGAUUGUUGUCAUUUUUCCUCACUGACUGUUUUCUUUUACUACAUUCACAGUGGAAUUGGCAGACAAUCCCCAUAGGAUCAGUCUUCUUGGUUUUCCUACUAGUUGCCAAAUACAAUGUAAGUUUUUUCUAUUUGCUUCAUAUUCCUUGGACUCCAUGCUUGUGGAAGGUUUCCUUCUUACAUGACUCAAAAGUGUUACAGGGGAAGAAGAAGAAGAGCCUUUUCUGGGUGCCCGCGAUCGCCCCUUUGAUCUUUGUUAUUCUCUUGACCUUUUUCGUGUAUAUUACACAUGCAGAAAAGCAUGGUGUUAAAAUUGUGAAAGACAUACAAAAGGGUAUAAAUCCGUCAUCCUUGGACCAAAUUCAUUUCAGUGGUGAAUUUGCUGCGAAGGGUUUCAGAAUUGGUGUAGUGGCUGGUAUGAUAGCAUUAACGGAGAGGCUGUGAUGACCCACACUUGCGAAGUGACAUUAAGGAUGUGGAGAAUAGUAGCAUGGGAGUCCAUUUUUAACAGUUUCUUUUAUCACGAUCCUUUUUUCCUCAAUGAUGGUACAGCUUGGAGUACCCUGGCUCAAAGAACAGGCUACUCUGAUAAUGUGAUGGACCAUCCAUGAACAUUGAAUGUGGGCCAUCAAUUUCGAUUGUUUAUGUCUAAGACAUCUGAUAUGCACUCAGCCUGAUUCCUGAACCAAGGAUAUUGAUUGAGGGAUUAGGAGCUUCAAGCUGUAAGAAUUUUGGAGCAUCUUCCAUCCGAGGGAGGGCCUAUAAGACCAAUAGUUUGGAUCUUCCAACUGUGGCCCCAGCUGCACGGACUGCAACACUUGGACACUUAUAACCAACCGUUUUAUUCUUAUAUUGUUAAAUAAGUAUAUGCUUCAAAUUUAUUUCAUCUGUGGAGGUCUAUUUAAUUCACUUAUAGAUAGGUGCAGAUGUUGCAUGAUUAAAAUCAUGUUCCUUUUUCUCUCUUAGGGAGGAGGAUGGUGCAACAAUGUUACAACUUGCCUCUCAUGAAAAGAAAACCAUUUGGGUUCAUCCAAGAAGACUGGGUUUGAUGUCUACUUCUCCAUGGCUAGGGGGAAUGCCACUUUGCCUGCUAUGGAAAUGACCAAGUGCUUUGACAUCAACUAUAACUACCCCUUAUCAAUCGUUCUGGUUGGCGUUGGUGAUGGACCUUGGUGAUAACCUCUCCAACCAGCAAAGAGACAAAACCCUGCUCCAAGACUGAAGGAAAGCACACAAUCCCAUAGCUAGAGGUUGCCACCAAGCCUACAUUAAACAUAAGAGCAACACAAGAAGCUCCCAGCAGGCAUUGACUUGGAUGCAGACCAAAUUAAAAGAAAAGAUCCCCCUGCAGCUUGAAUUCCGAAAGCGCUGAGCCAACACUAUAGAUACCUACCCGUGCACCAUCACUCCUGCAAAACAUGGCCACAAACAAGCCACAGCGGGAAAUCCUAGGAUUUUCUGAAUCUGACCACUCCAGCCCAGAAGAUAAGAUUAUCUGCUGCAUUGAGGGCCUGAACCUACAGAAAGACUCCGAAAUACUAGUUUUGAUGCCUUCUACUGCUACACAGCUCACCAAAGAUCGACAGAAGAAACCAGUCCCUUGGAAACAAUGGCAAUCAUUGGCAACAUAGAGAUCAUUGACAUUAACCAAGGUACGUUAGCUACAUAGACUGGUGUAAAUAA